rnacentral:rRNA from 3 species
AGAGUUUGAUCAUGGCUCAGAUUGAACGCUGGCGGCAGGCCUAACACAUGCAAGUCGAACGGUAACAGGAAGCAGCUUGCUGCUUUGCUGACGAGUGGCGGACGGGUGAGUAAUGUCUGGGAAACUGCCUGAUGGAGGGGGAUAACUACUGGAAACGGUGGCUAAUACCGCAUAACGUCGCAAGACCAAAGAGGGGGACCUUCGGGCCUCUUGCCAUCAGAUGUGCCCAGAUGGGAUUAGCUUGUUGGUGAGGUAACGGCUCACCAAGGCGACGAUCCCUAGCUGGUCUGAGAGGAUGACCAGCCACACUGGAACUGAGACACGGUCCAGACUCCUACGGGAGGCAGCAGUGGGGAAUAUUGCACAAUGGGCGCAAGCCUGAUGCAGCCAUGCCGCGUGUAUGAAGAAGGCCUUCGGGUUGUAAAGUACUUUCAGCGGGGAGGAAGGUGUUGUGGUUAAUAACCACAGCAAUUGACGUUACCCGCAGAAGAAGCACCGGCUAACUCCGUGCCAGCAGCCGCGGUAAUACGGAGGGUGCAAGCGUUAAUCGGAAUUACUGGGCGUAAAGCGCACGCAGGCGGUCUGUCAAGUCGGAUGUGAAAUCCCCGGGCUCAACCUGGGAACUGCAUUCGAAACUGGCAGGCUUGAGUCUUGUAGAGGGGGGUAGAAUUCCAGGUGUAGCGGUGAAAUGCGUAGAGAUCUGGAGGAAUACCGGUGGCGAAGGCGGCCCCCUGGACAAAGACUGACGCUCAGGUGCGAAAGCGUGGGGAGCAAACAGGAUUAGAUACCCUGGUAGUCCACGCCGUAAACGAUGUCUACUUGGAGGUUGUGCCCUUGAGGCGUGGCUUCCGGAGCUAACGCGUUAAGUAGACCGCCUGGGGAGUACGGCCGCAAGGUUAAAACUCAAAUGAAUUGACGGGGGCCCGCACAAGCGGUGGAGCAUGUGGUUUAAUUCGAUGCAACGCGAAGAACCUUACCUGGUCUUGACAUCCACAGAACUUUCCAGAGAUGGAUUGGUGCCUUCGGGAACUGUGAGACAGGUGCUGCAUGGCUGUCGUCAGCUCGUGUUGUGAAAUGUUGGGUUAAGUCCCGCAACGAGCGCAACCCUUAUCCUUUGUUGCCAGCGAUUAGGUCGGGAACUCAAAGGAGACUGCCAGUGAUAAACUGGAGGAAGGUGGGGAUGACGUCAAGUCAUCAUGGCCCUUACGACCAGGGCUACACACGUGCUACAAUGGCGCAUACAAAGAGAAGCGACCUCGCGAGAGCAAGCGGACCUCAUAAAGUGCGUCGUAGUCCGGAUUGGAGUCUGCAACUCGACUCCAUGAAGUCGGAAUCGCUAGUAAUCGUGGAUCAGAAUGCCACGGUGAAUACGUUCCCGGGCCUUGUACACACCGCCCGUCACACCAUGGGAGUGGGUUGCAAAAGAAGUAGGUAGCUUAACCUUCGGGAGGGCGCUUACCACUUUGUGAUUCAUGACUGGGGUGAAGUCGUAACAAGGUAACCGUAGGGGAACCUGCGGUUGGAUCACCU